GCUGAGGUGGGGACCGUGGCCAGCUCACUCCAGGCUGGGGACAGGCAGAGGCACGGGUUUGGGAAGCCAGGGGAGAAGUAAUUGGUGAAAUGGAGACUGAGAAAGGAGGGAAAAAUGCUGCCACACUUAGGAACAAGAGUGCCACGACUGCAGCAGCACCCACCCUUCCACAGCCCAGCCUGUUACACUUCAUAAACACCGUAUUCACUUUGAACUGCUCAAGAUGAACUUGGAAAGAGUAAAAUGGGACUUGGUGUAUCCAGGAGCAGCACCCUUCCACACCACCACCAGCUCAGGGGAGCACUGCACCAUACAAACCAGUAGUGACACCUUGUGUGCAAAUAAGACAUUAAUCUGCUUGAUUGGGGAAUAGGUUGAGGAAAGCAUUUCUUUCUGAUAUGCUUAAAACAAACAAAGGAAAAGUUUCCUGUGAGAAGAAACACAUAAGAAGUAUUUACUAAAAAAGUACAUGCACCACAACAAGUAAAAAAUAGCCACCAUACUGGGCUGUACAAACAGCCUGUUGGGAUUUUCCAAGGGUGCCCUUGUAGAGGGAAGUGCAGUAUGUUUAAAGAUACUGCAUCAAU